rnacentral:lncRNA from 1 species
GGGGACAAUGUGUAGUCUGAGUGUGGGGGAGUGCACAUAAUUUUUAUGUGUGUUUACUUUUUCUUGUUUUUAUGUUCAUUUGUGUGUUUAUUUUAGUUAUGUUUUUUUUUUUAAAUCCUAAAAGUAUUUUCUGUCUUUAUUUUUAGUUUUUUCAAAAAUCCAAAAAUAUUUCUUGUUUUUGUUUUUAUUUUGUAUUAUUGCAUGCUACUUGGACUGUAAUUAGG